GGUAGUCCACGCUGUAAACGAUGUCGAUUUAGAGGUUGUGGUCUUGAACCGUGGCUUCUGGAGCUAACGCGUUAAAUCGACCGCCUGGGGAGUACGGCCGCAAGGUUAAAACUCAAAUGAAUUGACGGGGGCCCGCACAAGCGGUGGAGCAUGUGGUUUAAUUCGAUGCAACGCGAAGAACCUUACCUGGUCUUGACAUCCACGGAAGUUUUCAGAGAUGAGAAUGUGCCUUCGGGAACCGUGAGACAGGUGCUGCAUGGCUGUCGUCAGCUCGUGUUGUGAAAUGUUGGGUUAAGUCCCGCAACGAGCGCAACCCUUAUCCUUUGUUGCCAGCGGUCCGGCCGGGAACUCAAAGGAGACUGCCAGUGAUAAACUGGAGGAAGGUGGGGAUGACGUCAAGUCAUCAUGGCCCUUACGACCAGGGCUACACACGUGCUACAAUGGCGCAUACAAAGAGAAGCGACCUCGCGAGAGCAAGCGGACCUCAUAAAGUGCGUCGUAGUCCGGAUUGGAGUCUGCAACUCGACUCCAUGAAGUCGGAAUCGCUAGUAAUCGUAGAUCAGAAUGCUACGGUGAAUACGUUCCCGGGCCUUGUACACACCGCCCGUCACACCAUGGGAGUGGGUUGCAAAAGAAGUAGGUAGCUUAACCUUCGGGAGGGCGCUUACCACUUUGUGAUUCAUGACUGGGGUGAAGUCGUAACAAGGUAACCGUAGGGGAACCUGCGGUUG
rnacentral:rRNA from 1 species